rnacentral:tmRNA from 1 species
GGGGGUGACCGGUUUCGACAGGUCGUGAUCCGGGUGUCCGGUGCAGGCGGGGGUUGGACGGCUGGCCCCCUCAUCAAGCCGCCCACACCAAACUGCCAACGAUAACUUCGAACUGGCUCUCGCUGCCUAGGGCAACCUAGGCUCCGAGCGAGUCCUCGGGAUCUCUGGGUACCGAGCUCGUUAAACCUCCGGAAGGGUGGCUUCGGCCUGCCGGACGGAGGUACCAGAUAGGCUGCCGCGACGCCUUCUGACGGUGGCCGAAAUCCAGGAGGCAAGCGUUCCGAGCGGCUCGUCCGUUCCCCGCCGGAAGGCUUCAAGAACGGACCAAGCCUGUGGAAGAACCGCCAACCGGCAUGUCUUGGACGUGGGUUCGACUCCCACCACCUCCACCA